rnacentral:rRNA from 1 species
GACGAGGGGUCCUAGCGUUGUUCGGAAUCACUGGGCGUAAAGCGUAUGUAGGCGGGCUUUUAAGUCGGGUGUGAAAUCCCACGGCUCAACCGUGGAAUUGCAUUCGAAACUGGAAGUCUUGAGUGUGGGAGAGAUUGGUAGAAUACCUAGUGUAGUGGUGAAAUACGUAGAUAUUAGGUGGAAUACCGGUGGCGAAGGCGGCCAAUUGGCCCAACACUGACGCUGAGAUACGAAAGCGUGGGGAUCAACAGG